rnacentral:tRNA from 1 species
UGGGGGUAGCUCAGUGGUAGAGCACUUGCCUACCAUGUUCCUGGCCCUGGGAUCCAUCCCCAGCACCACAA